GGUGAGAUGGCCGAGUGGUUAUGGCGCUGCGUCCAGGUCCAUCUGAAUUUCAAUACCUAAUUAAUUCAGGUAUAUAAUCUCGCAGUGGAGCAAUCCGCGUGGGUUCGAGUCCCACUCUCAUCA